rnacentral:rRNA from 1 species
CAGCCGCCACGGUAACACCGAGGGUGCGAGCGUUAAUCGGAUUUACUGGGCGUAAAGCGUGCGUAGGCGGCUUCUUAAGUCGGAUGUGAAAUCCCUGAGCUUAACUUAGGAAUUGCAUUCGAUACUGGGAAGCUAGAGUAUGGGAGAGGAUGGUAGAAUUCCAGGUGUAGCGGUGAAAUGCGUAGAGAUCUGGAGGAAUACCGAUGGCGAAGGCAGCCAUCUGGCCUAAUACUGACGCUGAGGUACGAAAGCAUGGGGAGCAAACAGGAUUAGAUACCCCGGUAGUCCCUGUCUCUUAUAC